rnacentral:rRNA from 1 species
GACGAACGCUGGCGGCAUGCCUAAUACAUGCAAGUCGAGCGGCCGCAUAGUAACUUGUUCCCCGACCGUCAGCCGCGUACCGGUCAGUAACACAUUGGCAACCUGCCUGUAAGUCUGUGAUAACUCCCGUAAACCGGCUCUCGUUCCUACUAACUCUUUCCCUCACAUGAGGGCAAGCUGUCUUAUGACAUCUCGCUAUCACUUACACAUGUGCCCGCGUCGCAUUAGCUAGUUGGUGAGGUAACGGCUCACCAAGGCGACGAUGCGUAGCCGAUCUGAGAGGAUGAUCGGCCACACUGGAACUGAGACACGGCCCAGACUCCUACGGGAGGCAGCAGUGGGGAAUAUUGGGCAAUGGACGAAAGUCUGACGGAGCAACACCGCGUGAGUGAAGAAGGUUUUCGGAUUGUAAAACUCUGUUGUCAGGGAAGAACAGGAACCGGAGUAAAUGCCGGUAUCUUGACGGUACCUGAAGAGAAAGCAACGGCUAACUACGUG